rnacentral:rRNA from 1 species
GACGAACGCUGGCGGCGUGCUUAACACAUGCAAGUCGAGCGGAAAGGCUCCUUCGGGGGUACUCGAGCGGCGAACGGGUGAGUAACACGUGAGUAAUCUGCCCUUGGCUUUGGGAUAACUACCGGAAACGGUGGCUAAUACCGGAUACGACCACUCCUUGCAUGAGGUGGUGGUGGAAAGUUUUUUCGGCCAGGGAUGUGCUCGCGGCCUAUCAGCUUGUUGGUGGGGUAAUGGCCUACCAAGGCUUCGACGGGUAGCCGGCCUGAGAGGGUGACCGGCCACACUGGGACUGAGACACGGCCCAGACUCCUACGGGAGGCAGCAGUGGGGAAUAUUGGACAAUGGGCGGAAGCCUGAUCCAGCAACGCCGCGUGAGGGAUGACGGCCUUCGG